rnacentral:rRNA from 1 species
UACGUAGGGGGCUAGCGUUGUCCGGAAUCAUUGGGCGUAAAGCGCGUGUAGGCGGCCAGGUAGGUCCGGUGUGAAAACUCGAGGCUCAACCUCGAGAGGUCAUCGGAAACCAUCUGGCUAGAGUCCGGAAGAGGAGAGUGGAAUUCCCGGUGUAGCGGUGAAAUGCGCAGAUAUCGGGAAGAACACCCAUGGCGAAGGCAGCUCUCUGGGACGGUACUGACGCUGAGACGCGAAAGCGUGGGGAGCGAACAGG